ACGAACGUUGGCGGCGUGCCUAAUACAUGCAAGUCGCGGGAGAAAACCGGGGUAACUCGGUGAGUACACCGGCGAAAGGGUGAGUAAUACAUAGAUAACGUACCCUCAGGUCUGGGAUAACUCCGCGAAAGCGGGGCUAAUACCAGGCGACGACAGGUUGGGACAUCCCGAUUUGUCCAAAGCCGAAAGGCGCCAGAGGAGCGGUCUAUGGCCUAUCAGCUAGUUGGCGGGGUAAUGGCCCACCAAGGCUUUGACGGGUAGCCGGACUGAGAGGUUGACCGGCCACACGGGAACUGAGACACGGUCCCGACACCUACGGGUGGCAGCAGUAGGGAAUAUUGCGCAAUGGGCGAAAGCCUGACGCAGCGACGCCGCGUGGGGGAUGAAGGCCUUCGGGUUGUAAACCCCUUUCAUGUGGGAAGAACACUGACUUAACCACAGGAAGAAGCACCGGCUAACUCCGU
rnacentral:rRNA from 1 species